rnacentral:snRNA from 1 species
AAGACCUCUCAAUAGAGUUUC